rnacentral:rRNA from 1 species
UACGUAGGGUGCAAGCGUUGUCCGGAAUUAUUGGGCGUAAAGAGCUCGUAGGCGGUUUGUCGCGUCGAAUGUGAAAACCCGGGGCUCAACCCCGGGCCUGCAUUCGAUACGGGCAGACUAGAGUUCGGUAGGGGAGUCUGGAAUUCCUGGUGUAGCGGUGAAAUGCGCAGAGUAUCAGGAGGAACACCGAUGGCGAAGGCAGAUCUCUGGGCCGUAACUGACGCUGAGGAGCGAAAGCAUGGGGAGCGAACAGG